AUGUUUGCCAGACACUGGCCU
rnacentral:misc_RNA from 1 species